CAAAGGUAGGCUACUUCCAAAAGACCCACAAGCCUGUGAAGUUCUCUACCCUAGAAGAUCCCUAGAAUUACCUUAGAAUCCAGUCUACAUUCUUGUGAAUCAUGAGGUCCUUGGCUCUAGGUUUAAUCCUGUGUGUGCUAGUUCCACUGUUCCAUGCUUAUUGCCACAGGAAGCCUAUGACUUUGAAACCAGGCAUGAUUACCCAUUGUCUUGACGAAAAGGAUAAGACAUGGCAUCCUAUUGGUUCCCGCUGGAGGAACAGUGAUUGCAUGGACUGCACUUGUGAUUCAUGCUGCUCGGGGUAUGCGACUCCCACACAUUUUCCUGAUGAUUGCAUGAAGGAGUGGGACCAAAAGGCAUGUGAAUUCAAGGUAGUUAAGAAGAGUGAUCCCUCCAUUUCAUGCCCUAUCUUCGGCGCUGUGGGGAAGUAAAUUGUUUACUUCACUGUGUUCUCAAUAUACAGUGAAAAGAUGCGUGUUAGUGUGCAACUUUCUUUUUCAUUGGUAUAGAUCAUCCUCUGUUAGUCAACACCUCACCUUAGGGUGUCCGUACUUUAUUUACUUAAAGAACAUCAUGAUAGAUGUUGACUGUCAUCUACUGCCGGUAAAAUAUCAAUAAAAAAAAAUGUCUGAG